CUUCGGGUGAGUGGCGCCCGGGUGAUUAACGCGUGGGAACCUGCCCUCAGGAGGGGGAUAACGGCUGGAAACGGCCGCUAAUACCCCAUAUGCCGAGAGGUGAAAUGAAAUUCGCCUGAGGAUGGGCCCGCGUCUGAUUAGCUAGUUGGUGGGGUAAGAGCCUACCAAGGCGACGAUCAGUAGCUGGUCUGAGAGGAUGAUCAGCCACACUGGGACUGAGACACGGCCCAGACUCCUACGGGAGGCAGCAGUGGGGAAUUUUCCGCAAUGGGCGAAAGCCUGACCCAGCGACGCCGCGUGAGGGAUGAAGGCCUCUGGGCUGUAAACCUCUUUUCUCAAGGAAGAAGAUCUGACGGUACUUGAGGAAUAAGCCACGGCUAAUUCCGUGCCAGCAGCCGCGGUAAUACGGGAGUGGCAAGCGUUAUCCGGAAUUAUUGGGCGUAAAGCGUCCGCAGGUGGCCCUGUAAGUCUGUCGUUAAAGCGUGGAGCUUAACUCCAUUUAAGCGAUGGAAACUACAGGGCUAGAGUGUGGUAGGGGCAGAGGGAAUUCCCGGUGUAGCGGUGAAAUGCGUAGAUAUCGGGAAGAACACCAGUGGCGAAGGCGCUCUGCUGGGCCAUCACUGACACUCAUGGACGAAAGCCAGGGGAGCGAAAGGGAUUAGAUACCCCUGUAGUCCUGGCCGUAAACGAUGAACACUAGGUGUCGGGGGAAUCGACCCCCUCGGUGUCGUAGCCAACGCGUUAAGUGUUCCGCCUGGGGAGUACGCACGCAAGUGUGAAACUCAAAGGAAUUGACGGGGGCCCGCACAAGCGGUGGAGUAUGUGGUUUAAUUCGAUGCAACGCGAAGAACCUUACCAGGGUUUGACAUCCUGCGAACCCCUGAGAAAUCGGGGGGUGCCUUCGGGAACGCAGUGACAGGUGGUGCAUGGCUGUCGUCAGCUCGUGUCGUGAGAUAAUGGGUUAAGUCCCCCCCCGAGCGCAACCCACGUCGUUAGUUGCCAGCAUUUAGUUGGGCACUCUAGCGAGACCGCCGGUGAUAAACCGGAGGAAGGUGUGGAUGGCGUCAAGUCAUCAUGCCCCUUACAUCCUGGGCUACACACGUACUACAAUGCUACGCCCCCAGGGCAGCAAGUUCGCGAGGGUUAGCAUAUCCCAUAAACCGUGGCUCAGUUCAGAUCGUAGUU
rnacentral:rRNA from 1 species